rnacentral:rRNA from 1 species
AGAAUCAACGCUGGCGGCGUGCCUAACACAUGCAAGUCGAACGAGAAAGUGGAGCAAUCCACAAGUAAAGUGGCGCACGGGUGAGUAACACGUGACUAACCUACCCUUGAGUGGGGGAUAACCUAGAGAAAUCUGGGCUAAUACCGCAUAAUACCUUCGGGUCAAAGGAGCAAUUCGCUUAAGGAGGGGGUCGCGGCCGAUUAGUUAGUUGGCGGGGUAAUGGCCCACCAAGACUAUGAUCGGUAUCC